UACGGGGGGGGUAAGCGUUGUUCGGAAUUACUGGGCGUAAAGGGCUCGUAGGCGGCCAACUAAGUCAGACGUGAAAUCCCUCAGCUUAACUGGGGAACUGCGUCUGAUACUGGAUGGCUUGGAUCCGGGAGAGGGAUGCGGAAUUCCAGGUGUAGCGGUGAAAUGCGUAGAUAUCGGAAGGAACAUCAGUGGCGAAAGCGACUUCCUGGACCAGUACCGACGUUCAGGCACGAAAGCGUGGGGAGCAAACAGG
rnacentral:rRNA from 1 species